rnacentral:rRNA from 1 species
AGAGUUUGAUCCUGGCUCAGGAUGAACGCUAGCGGCAGGCCUAACACAUGCAAGUCGAGGGGUAAGGUCUCUUCGGAGAUACACGACCGGCGCACGGGUGAGUAACGCGUUUGCAACCUACCUUCAACAGGAAGAUAGCUCCCGGAAACGGGAAUUAAUAUUCCAUAAUAUUUUUUUAUGGCAUCAUAGAAAAAUUAAAGCUCAGGCGGUUGAAGAUGGGCAUGCGUGACAUUAGCUAGUUGGUAAGGUAACGGCUUACCAAGGCUACGAUGUCUAGGGGGUCUGAGAGGAUGAUCCCCCACACUGGUACUGAGACACGGACCAGACUCCUACGGGAGGCAGCAGUGAGGAAUAUUGGGCAAUGGACGCAAGUCUGACCCAGCCAUGCCGCGUGCAGGAUGACUGCCCUAUGGGUUGUAAACUGCUUUUCUGCAGGAAGAAACUUCCCGACGUGUCGGGACUUGACGGUACUGCAGGAAUAAGCAUCGGCUAACUCCGUGCCAGCAGCCGCGGUAAUACGGAGGAUGCAAGCGUUAUCCGGAUUUAUUGGGUUUAAAGGGUGCGUAGGCGGGAAAUUAAGUCAGUGGUGAAAUCCUGCAGCUUAACUGUAGAACUGCCAUUGAUACUGGUUUUCUUGAGUAUAGUUGAAGUGGGCGGAAUGUGUAUUGUAGCGGUGAAAUGCUUAGAUAUUACACAGAACACCUAUUGCGAAGGCAGCUCACAUAAACUAAUACUGACGCUGAGGCACGAAAGCGUGGGGAGCAAACAGGAUUAGAUACCCUGGUAGUCCACGCCGUAAACGUUGAUUACUCGAUGUGUGCGAUACACCGUACGCGUCUGAGCGAAAGCAUUAAGUAAUCCACCUGGGGAGUACGAUCGCAAGAUUGAAACUCAAAGGAAUUGACGGGGGCCCGCACAAGCGGAGGAACAUGUGGUUUAAUUCGAUGAUACGCGAGGAACCUUACCUGGGCUUAAAUGUAGACUGAUUUCCACCGAAAGGUGGUUUCCCUUCGGGGCAGACUGCAAGGUGCUGCAUGGUUGUCGUCAGCUUGUGCCGUGAGGUGUCGGGUUAAGUCCCAUAACGAGCGCAACCCCUAUCGUUAGUUGCCAGCGAGUAAUGUCGGGGACUCUAGCGAAACUGCCGGUGUAAACC